rnacentral:rRNA from 1 species
UACGAAGGGGGCUAGCGUUGCUCGGAAUCAUUGGGCGUAAAGGGUGCGUAGGCGGCGCGGUAAGUCGGGUGUGAAAUCUCGGAGCUUAACUCCGAAACUGCAUUCGAUACUGCCGUGCUUGAGGACUGGAGAGGAGACUGGAAUUUACGGUGUAGCGGUGAAAUGCGUAGAUAUCGUGAGGAAGACCAGUGGCGAAGGCGAAUCUCUGGACAGUUCCUGACGCUCAUGCACGAAGGCCAGGGGAGCAAACGGG